GCCAAUCAUGCUUUACAGAGUGAAUCAACUCCACGGUCCAGACCAUCUCCAAAUCAUUUCCCCCUGCAUGGAUAAGAACAGUAAUCAACCCCCACACAAACCUGUUAAAACCUGAUAAACCUCCAUUAAAACCCUCAAUCACUCCUCCAACGAACUCGCGCUAGCUCAAAAAAGAAAAACCAUACGAGCAUGCCUCCGCCCGCCGAGCUGACCUAAAAAUAAACGAGUGUCCCAUAAUCCACAGG